CAUGAAGUUGGAAUCGCUAGUAAUCGCGGAUCAGCAUGCCGCGGUGAAUACGUUCCCGGGCCUUGUACACACCGCCCGUCACACCAUGAGAGUCGGGAACACCCGAAGUCCGUAGCCUAACAGCAAUGGGGCGCGGCCGAAGGUGGGUUCGAUAAUUGGGGGUGAAGUCGUAACAAGGUACC
rnacentral:rRNA from 1 species